GAUGAACGCUAGCGGCAGGCCUAAUACAUGCAAGUCGAGGGGCAGCAGGGAUAGCAAUAUUCGCUGGCGACCGGCGCACGGGUGCGUAACACGUAUACAAUCUGCCUUUAACAGGGGGAUAGCCCGGAGAAAUCCGGAUUAAUACCCCAUAACACAUGAGAUAGCAUUAUUUUAUGUUGAAAGCUCCGGCGGUUAGAGAUGAGUAUGCGUCUGAUUAGCUAGUUGGUGAGGUAACGGCUCACCAAGGCGACGAUCAGUAGGGGAUCUGAGAGGA
rnacentral:rRNA from 1 species